rnacentral:lncRNA from 1 species
CCUUCUUAACUCGUUCUAUUCUUUCUUUGAUCUCUCGCUCUUCAUGUUUUCGCUCAUACUUUCUCCAAUGUUCUGCAAUUUUCUGUGCCCUAGAAGUCUGUGUGCUUUCCCCCGCCACUUGUAAGGCUGAGCUGAAUCAGGAUUUAUUUCAAUGGCUCUGUCACAGUCUUGGAUGGCAGCAUUUGGCUUCUGUAAUUUGACGAAGACACUGGCCCUCUUUGCAUACAAAAUGGCCAAGCGAGGAUUCAGCUUGAUGGCAUCUGUGAAUAAGUCAAUGGCUUUCUGGAGUUCACCAUCAUUUAGGACUUCAAUAGCAGCCACUUUUUUAUCAUUUGCCUGAUCCAUCAUCUCCUCCGUUAUCUCCACAUUUUCAUCUCCCAUUUCUUGAGGAGCAUCAGUGUCUG